GUUGGUAGAGCGCAACCUUGCCAAGGUUGAGGUCGCGAGUUCGAGACUCGUUUCCCGCU
rnacentral:tRNA from 1 species